rnacentral:rRNA from 1 species
GAUGAACGCUGGCGGCGUGCCUAAUACAUGCAAGUCGAGCGAACGGACGAGAAGCUUGCUUCUCUGAUGUUAGCGGCGGACGGGUGAGUAACACGUGGAUAACCUACCUAUAAGACUGGGAUAACUUCGGGAAACCGGAGCUAAUACCGGAUAAUAUUUUGAACCGCAUGGUUCAAAAGUGAAAGACGGUCUUGCUGUCACUUAUAGAUGGAUCCGCGCUGCAUUAGCUAGUUGGUAAGGUAACGGCUUACCAAGGCAACGAUGCAUAGCCGACCUGAGAGGGUGAUCGGCCACACUGGAACUGAGACACGGUCCAGACUCCUACGGGAGGCAGCAGUAGGGAAUCUUCCGCAAGGGGCGAAAGCCUGACGGAGCAACGCCGCGUGAGUGAUGAAGGUCUUCGGAUCGUAAAACUCUGUUAUUAGGGAAGAACAUAUGUGUAAGUAACUGUGCACAUCUUGACGGUACCUAAUCAGAAAGCCACGGCUAACUACGU